AAGAGUUUGAUCAUGGCUCAGAUUGAACGCUGGCGGCAGGCCUAACACAUGCAAGUCGAACGGUAACAGGAAGCAGCUUGCUGCUUUGCUGACGAGUGGCGGACGGGUGAGUAAUGUCUGGGAAACUGCCUGAUGGAGGGGGAUAACUACUGGAAACGGUAGCUAAUACCGCAUAACGUCGCAAGACCAAAGAGGGGGACCUUCGGGCCUCUUGCCAUCGGAUGUGCCCAGAUGGGAUUAGCUUGUUGGUGGGGUAACGGCUCACCUAGGCGACGAUCCCUAGCUGGUCUGAGAGGAUGACCAGCCACACUGGAACUGAGACACGGUCCAGACUCCUACGGGAGGCAGCAGUGGGGAAUAUUGCACAAUGGGCGCAAGCCUGAUGCAGCCAUGCCGCGUGUAUGAAGAAGGCCUUCGGGUUGUAAAGUACUUUCAGCGGGGAGGAAGGGAGUAAAGUUAAUACCUUUGCUCAUUGACGUUACCCGCAGAAGAAGCACCGGCUAACUCCGUGCCAGCAGCCGCGGUAAUACGGAGGGUGCAAGCGUUAAUCGGAAUUACUGGGCGUAAAGCGCACGCAGGCGGUUUGUUAAGUCAGAUGUG
rnacentral:rRNA from 1 species